rnacentral:rRNA from 1 species
CGAAUGCUGACAUAAGUAACGAUAAAGCGGGUGAAAAGCCCGCUCGCCGGAAGACCAAGGGUUCCUGUCCAACGUUAAUCGGGGCAGGGUGAGUCGACCCCUAAGGCGAGGCCGAAAGGCGUAGUCGAUGGGAAACAGGUUAAUAUUCCUGUACUUGGUGUUACUGCGAAGGGGGGACGGAGAAGGCUAUGUUGGCCGGGCGACGGUUGUCCCGGUUUAAGCGUGUAGGCUGGUUUUCCAGGCAAAUCCGGAAAAUCAAGGCUGAGGCGUGAUGACGAGGCACUACGGUGCUGAAGCAACAAAUGCCCUGCUUCCAGGAAAAGCCUCUAAGCAUCAGGUAACAUCAAAUCGUACCCCAAACCGACACAGGUGGUCAGGUAGAGAAUACCAAGGCGCUUGAGAGAACUCGGGUGAAGGAACUAGGCAAAAUGGUGCCGUAACUUCGGGAGAAGGCACGCUGAUAUGUAGGUGAAGCGACUUGCUCGUGGAGCUGAAAUCAGUCGAAGAUACCAGCUGGCUGCAACUGUUUAUUAAAAACACAGCACUGUGCAAACACGAAAGUGGACGUAUACGGUGUGACGCCUGCCCGGUGCCGGAAGGUUAAUUGAUGGGGUUAGCGCAAGCGAAGCUCUUGAUCGAAGCCCCGGUAAACGGCGGCCGUAACUAUAACGGUCCUAAGGUAGCGAAAUUCCUUGUCGGGUAAGUUCCGACCUGCACGAAUGGCGUAAUGAUGGCCAGGCUGUCUCCACCCGAGACUCAGUGAAAUUGAACUCGCUGUGAAGAUGCAGUGUACCCGCGGCAAGACGGAAAGACCCCGUGAACCUUUACUAUAGCUUGACACUGAACAUUGAGCCUUGAUGUGUAGGAUAGGUGGGAGGCUUUGAAGUGUGGACGCCAGUCUGCAUGGAGCCGACCUUGAAAUACCACCCUUUAAUGUUUGAUGUUCUAACGUUGACCCGUAAUCCGGGUUGCGGACAGUGUCUGGUGGGUAGUUUGACUGGGGCGGUCUCCUCCUAAAGAGUAACGGAGGAGCACGAAGGUUGGCUAAUCCUGGUCGGACAUCAGGAGGUUAGUGCAAUGGCAUAAGCCAGCUUGACUGCGAGCGUGACGGCGCGAGCAGGUGCGAAAGCAGGUCAUAGUGAUCCGGUGGUUCUGAAUGGAAGGGCCAUCGCUCAACGGAUAAAAGGUACUCCGGGGAUAACAGGCUGAUACCGCCCAAGAGUUCAUAUCGACGGCGGUGUUUGGCACCUCGAUGUCGGCUCAUCACAUCCUGGGGCUGAAGUAGGUCCCAAGGGUAUGGCUGUUCGCCAUUUAAAGUGGUACGCGAGCUGGGUUUAGAACGUCGUGAGACAGUUCGGUCCCUAUCUGCCGUGGGCGCUGGAGAACUGAGGGGGGCUGCUCCUAGUACGAGAGGACCGGAGUGGACGCAUCACUGGUGUUCGGGUUGUCAUGCCAAUGGCACUGCCCGGUAGCUAAAUGCGGAAGAGAUAAGUGCUGAAAGCAUCUAAGCACGAAACUUGCCCCGAGAUGAGUUCUCCCUGACCCUUUAAG